AUUUUAUUUGAUUCCAAACUAUUAUUCAAUGAUCAUGUAUCAGCGAUUAAAAAUAAAGCUUUAUCUGUAUUUGGUAUGAUAAAAAGAAACUGCUCCGAUUUUCGUGAUCCACUUGCUCUCAAAUGCCUUUAUACCUCACUAGUCCGUUCUUUAUUAGAAUACGCUCCAAUAAUUUGGAAUCAUAACAAUGUAGGACAUAAUGAUCAACUUGAUAAAGUUCAAAAUAAGGCCCUCAGAUUUUUAUGUCAUACAUGUAAUAUUCAACGAACUCCUCACUCUGGCUACGAUAAUAUUUUAAAACUGUUAAACUUAGAUUCUUUAAAUGCACGGAGACACUUAUCAUACAGUACGUUCCUCACCAAAUUACUAAAUAAUGAGAUUGAUGAUUCAUUUAUAUUAAGUCAAUUAAAUUUCAAAGUUAAUAGCCACCACACUCGUAACAAUCAUUUAUUUUAUAUUCCUCAUUCAUCUAAAAAGUUUACGUCAUAUGACCCCAUAAAUAUUUUAAUGUCUUCGGGAAAUAGUUAAUUAUUUUAUUAAACAUUGAAUGUAUUUUUAUUAUUAUUAUUAUUAUUACUAUUAUUUGAUAUAUUAAUCUUUUCAUUUUUUAUUAUGUUAUAUUUUAUUAUUUUAAAUUAUAUAAAUUUAUAAUUUAUAUAAGUUAUAUUUUAUUGUUAUCUAUAC